GAUGAAGAACGCAGCGAAAUGCGAUAACUAAUGUGAAUUGCAGAAUUCAGUGAAUCAUCGAGUCUUUGAACGCACAUUGCGCCCCCUGGUAUUCCGGGGGGCAUGCCUGUCCGAGCGUCAUUGCUGCCCUCAAGCACGGCUUGUGUGUUGGGCUUCCGUCCCUGGCAACGGGGACGGGCCCAAAAGGCAGUGGCGGCACCAUGUCUGGUCCUCGAGCGUAUGGGGCUUUGUCACCCGCUCCCGUAGGUCCAGCUGGCAGCUAGCCUCGCAACCAAUCUUUUUAACCAGGUUGACCUCGGAUCAGGUAGGGAUACCCGCUGAACUUAAGCAUAUCAAUAAGCGGAGGA
rnacentral:misc_RNA from 1 species